GUCAAAAAUAGCUAUAUACUAAGCAUUUUUUAUUUGUUUUACUUUAUUUAAAGCCUAUUGUAUAUUAUCCCGAAGUUUCAUUCCAUAAAAAACAGAAAUAAGGAAAUUCGAUAUUUCGUGUACCAUCAGCAUCCAAAUUUUCAAGUAUACAGAAAUUUAACUUUCCGGAAUAUAACGGAAAUUUUCGGGUAUCUCCGUGGUACCAUCUCCGUGCAAUUAUGCAGUAUGGCGUUCAUCUCUUACGGAAAGAGAAUGGUAACUUGUUGCUGCUUGGGACAAUAAAGUUAAGUCAGCAACCGUCUACCAGACUGCAAGAUUCAUCUCUUCCAAAGGAUGUCGUACCUUUCCAGAUACACUGUGUGGAUAAGAAAUGCAGAGUGGUACCACCAAUCACCUAAGCCACCAUUCCCCUAACAGACAAUAGGCUCAUGGGGACAGUUCCUGCAAUUUACAGAAAAGCUCUCAAUUGUAGCCCUACGAACUUAAGAUACUGCCGAUGGUGAAGCUUGGGUGCACCGGGCCAGUUUUCCAGCCGUGUGGAAUCUCCAGCUGAACUGGGGCCGGGAAUUAUAUAAGACUCCUUAGCAGCAUG